UUGUUACCAGUCGCUUUGGAUCAAUUGUGCCAGUGAUCCUACUCAGUGAACUAGUAAAUAAAAAUGCCCUACAUGAUCUUUGGCUCAGGACUCUUUCCAGCUGUGCUUAGGGAUACAGCUUAAAUACAAUCUUCAAAAGACUGCAAUUCACAUUCCUGGCUCAUCUGAGACCCACUAGCAUAACACCAGAUAGAAAGCUGAAGCAGCAUAAAUGAAGAGAUGCCUCCUUUGUAAACCUAAGAUGUCCUCAGGUGGAAAGUGACUGCUAAAACAUUAUUUUGCCACAUGAACAAGAUCCUGAAUCUCCUGGGAUUCCAGCAGAAAGUGGAAGUCAGCCUUACACUUGAGCCCCAGUGCAACCUGCUGGCAUGUGCACAGCACGAGAUGAGCGGUAGACCUCAGGCUUUGUUUCAUCUAGAACAAUCAGAUAAGGCUGAUUUCUGAAGACAGUUCAGAAUGAACAGAUUUCAGUUGCCCCCAGUGAUAACCAUCAUUGUCAACAGGAGGCAUUCCAGGUACUGACACUAGAGCCCUAAAUGUUCAGAUACUGAACAUUUUAUCUUUUAUUUUAAAAACUACUGCUGGGAACUCUCUUUAUAGAAUGCAAUGGAUGAUGAGUAUUUAGAAGAAGAAUGAACCCUGAAGGAGAAUAAAGCACAAGCCUCAGAGAUUGUCA
rnacentral:lncRNA from 1 species